GUGAGGAAUUUUCCGCAAUGGGCGAAAGCCUGACGGAGCAAUGCCGCGUGAAGGAUGAAGGCAUAUGGGUUGUAAACUUCUUUUCUCAGAAAAGAAUUAUGACGGUAUCUGAGGAAUAAGCAUCGGCUAACUCUGUGCCAGCAGCAGCGGUAAGACAGAGGAUGCAAGCGUUAUCCGGAAUGAUUGGGCGUAAAGCGUCUGUAGGUUGUUUAAAAAGUAUUCUGUCAAAGAUUAGGGCUUAACUCUAGUUAGGCAGAAUAAACUUUUAAGCUAGAGUUUGGUAGAGGCAGAGGGAAUUCCCGGUGGAGCGGUGAAAUGCGUAGAUAUCGGGAGGAACACCAAAGGCGAAGGCACUCUGCUGGGCCAAUACUAACACUGAGAGACGAAAGCGAGGGGAGCAAAUGGGAUUAGAAACCCCGGUAGUCC
rnacentral:rRNA from 1 species